CAGCCGCCGCGGUAAUACGAGGGGGGCAAGCGUUGUUCGGAAUUAUUGGGCGUAAAGGGUGCGUAGGCGGCUUGACAAGUCUUGUGUGAAAUCUAUGGGCUCAACCCAUAGUCUGCACGGGAAACUGUCGGGCUUGAGAAUGGGAGAGGUGAGUGGAGUUUCCGGUGUAGCGGUGAAAUGCGUAGAUAUUCGCAAGAACACCAGUGGCGAAGGCGGCUCACUGGCCCGAUACUGACGCUGAGGUGCGAAAGCGUGGGGAGCAAACAGGAUUAGAUACCCGCGUAGUCCCUGUCUCUUAUAC
rnacentral:rRNA from 1 species